UUAAGUUAUUAAGGGCGCACGGUGGAUGCCUUGGCACUAGAAGCCGAUGAAGGACGUUACUAACGACGAUAUGCUUUGGGGAGCUGUAAGUAAGCUUUGAUCCAGAGAUUUCCGAAUGGGGAAACCCAGCAUGAGUUAUGUCAUGUUAUCGAUAUGUGAAUACAUAGCAUAUCAGAAGGCACACCCGGAGAACUGAAACAUCUUAGUACCCGGAGGAAGAGAAAGAAAAUUCGAUUCCCUUAGUAGCGGCGAGCGAAACGGGAAGAGCCCAAACCAACAAGCUUGCUUGUUGGGGUUGUAGGACACUCUGUACGGAGUUACAAAGGACGACAUUAGACGAAUCAUCUGGAAAGAUGAAUCAAAGAAGGUAAUAAUCCUGUAGUCGAAAAUGUUGUCUCUCUUGAGUGGAUCCUGAGUACGACGGAGCACGUGAAAUUCCGUCGGAAUCUGGGAGGACCAUCUCCUAAGGCUAAAUACUCUCUAGUGACCGAUAGUGAACCAGUACCGUGAGGGAAAGGUGAAAAGCACCCCGGAAGGGGAGUGAAAUAGAACCUGAAACCGUGUGCUUACAAGUAGUCAGAGCCCGUUAAUGGGUGAUGGCGUGCCUUUUGUAGAAUGAACCGGCGAGUUACGAUUUGAUGCAAGGUUAAGCAGUAAAUGUGGAGCCGUAGCGAAAGCGAGUCUGAAUAGGGCGUUUAGUAUUUGGUCGUAGACCCGAAACCAGGUGAUCUACCCUUGGUCAGGUUGAAGUUCAGGUAACACUGAAUGGAGGACCGAACCGACUUACGUUGAAAAGUGAGCGGAUGAACUGAGGGUAGCGGAGAAAUUCCAAUCGAACCUGGAGAUAGCUGGUUCUCUCCGAAAUAGCUUUAGGGCUAGCCUCAAGUGAUGAUUAUUGGAGGUAGAGCACUGUUUGGACGAGGGGCCCCUCUCGGGUUACCGAAUUCAGACAAACUCCGAAUGCCAAUUAAUUUAACUUGGGAGUCAGAACAUGGGUGAUAAGGUCCGUGUUCGAAAGGGAAACAGCCCAGACCACCAGCUAAGGUCCCAAAAUAUAUGUUAAGUGGAAAAGGAUGUGGCGUUGCCCAGACAACUAGGAUGUUGGCUUAGAAGCAGCCAUCAUUUAAAGAGUGCGUAAUAGCUCACUAGUCGAGUGACACUGCGCCGAAAAUGUACCGGGGCUAAACAUAUUACCGAAGCUGUGGAUUGUCCUUUGGACAAUGGUAGGAGAGCGUUCUAAGGGCGUUGAAGCAUGAUCGUAAGGACAUGUGGAGCGCUUAGAAGUGAGAAUGCCGGUGUGAGUAGCGAAAGACGGGUGAGAAUCCCGUCCACCGAUUGACUAAGGUUUCCAGAGGAAGGCUCGUCCGCUCUGGGUUAGUCGGGUCCUAAGCUGAGGCCGACAGGCGUAGGCGAUGGAUAACAGGUUGAUAUUCCUGUACCACCUAUAAUCGUUUUAAUCGAUGGGGGGACGCAGUAGGAUAGGCGAAGCGUGCGAUUGGAUUGCACGUCUAAGCAGUAAGGCUGAGUAUUAGGCAAAUCCGGUACUCGUUAAGGCUGAGCUGUGAUGGGGAGAAGACAUUGAGUCUUCGAGUCGUUGAUUUCACACUGCCGAGAAAAGCCUCUAGAUAGAAAAUAGGUGCCCGUACCGCAAACCGACACAGGUAGUCAAGAUGAGAAUUCUAAGGUGAGCGAGCGAACUCUCGUUAAGGAACUCGGCAAAAUGACCCCGUAACUUCGGGAGAAGGGGUGCUCUUUAGGGUUAACGCCCAGAAGAGCCGCAGUGAAUAGGCCCAAGCGACUGUUUAUCAAAAACACAGGUCUCUGCUAAACCGUAAGGUGAUGUAUAGGGGCUGACGCCUGCCCGGUGCUGGAAGGUUAAGAGGAGUGGUUAGCUUCUGCGAAGCUACGAAUCGAAGCCCCAGUAAACGGCGGCCGUAACUAUAACGGUCCUAAGGUAGCGAAAUUCCUUGUCGGGUAAGUUCCGACCCGCACGAAAGGCGUAACGAUUUGGGCACUGUCUCAACGAGAGACUCGGUGAAAUCAUAGUACCUGUGAAGAUGCAGGUUACCCGCGACAGGACGGAAAGACCCCGUGGAGCUUUACUGUAGCCUGAUAUUGAAAUUCGGCACAGCUUGUACAGGAUAGGUAGGAGCCUUUGAAACGUGAGCGCUAGCUUACGUGGAGGCGCUGGUGGGAUACUACCCUAGCUGUGUUGGCUUUCUAACCCGCACCACUUAUCGUGGUGGGAGACAGUGUCAAGCGGGCAGUUUGACUGGGGCGGUCGCCUCCUAAAAGGUAACGGAGGCGCUCAAAGGUUCCCUCAGAAUGGUUGGAAAUCAUUCAUAGAGUGUAAAGGCAUAAGGGAGCUUGACUGCGAGACCUACAAGUCGAGCAGGGUCGAAAGACGGACUUAGUGAUCCGGUGGUUCCGCAAUUAAGGGCGCACGGUGGAUGCCUUGGCACUAGAAGCCGAUGAAGGACGUUACUAACGACGAUAUGCUUUGGGGAGCUGUAAGUAAGCUUUGAUC
rnacentral:rRNA from 1 species